UGAAUGAAGUAGUUUUGUUGAAUGAGAGAUAACUGCCAAGCUCUGUAAACUUCUCCCUUUCACACGUCUACUUGCAUCAGUUGGGAUUAUUUCCCAUCUCUCUUUUAACUUCCCAUUCUUGAUUCCCCAAACCCAGCAAGCUAGGAUCAUAAAAUAUCAAAAGUCAGUCAAAUCAGAUUCUCAUAUCGAAUUGUUUCUCUGCUCAUGGAUUGAAGUGAGAAUCAGAUUUGGGAUCCAAGGAAUGUUAUCCUGCGAACAGAUCGGCAGACAUGGAGUUAAAUUGGAUUUGGUUUUCCAGAUUGAAUGGCAAACAUGGAGUUACCGCAUCGUUCUUAACUACAGUGUGAAAUUGAGUUUUUUUUUUACUAUUUUUUUUCUAUUAAUCUCUCUUUUUCCACUCAUGUGUUGGAUUUGAUAUUUGGCUUAAUUACAUGUGUAGUUUCUUUGUGUUAUUUUUUUCUAUUGAUUCCAAUUUGAUUUUUUUUUCUUUUUUGGUUCUUCUGCACUAUUAUUUUCUUUAGAUUAUAUUUUGUUUUCUUUGAAUAAUGUUAACUCCCUCAUAUAUCUUUUCAUGUCUGUUUUUACAGGGCUUUGACUGUGAACUAUCUAUGCAUCAUGAAUCGAUGGCAAAAUGUCAGCGAGACACUAUCGGUUCCGCGAGGGUGCCGUGAUGGGAUAAGGAUUGUCUGCCCUCCACUUCCGGUGUCCUUUCCAUGUCCUCCUGUUUUGUAUAGUCACGGUUAACCCACGUCAACAUUUUAUAUUAUUUUUUUUAUAGAUAUAAUAAGACAAAAAUGAAUAGAAAUAUAAAAUGUUGACGUAACUUAACCGUGACCACACAAACAGGAGAGCACAGGGAGGGCAUCAGAAAUGGAGGGCAGACAAUCCUUGUCCGCCAUUAUGACCUUGAAUUUCCAGUACAGGUAAUCCAAGCCAAAGUAGCUCCUCUAAGUACUCUAUACUUGUUUUUUACUAUUCUUUUUUUAACAAACAAUAUUAUCUAGACUAAGGGAUUGGGAAGUGGGCUGAACCUCACAAUGGGUUAGCAAUAAUAUUGUUCAAAUUCGUCUUUGACGAGAAUCGAAUUUAAAACUUUCCACUUACCAAUAAACAGGAAUAACACUAGGUGCAAGACAUAGCUUUCUGAUGAAGAAAGAGUUGCUACAACUACUGUUCAGAGAACAAAGUAGAGACAAUUAAUUCUUAUUAGAUAAGACUCUAUUAUCGAUUCAAUAGAUUAUGUACAAUUCUUUAGUUUGUCUAACUAUUCAGAUUCUUUUUUUAUUA